AGGGGGAUCACAAAUACGGGCCAACAAGUGUACGAGGCCGCAUGUGUUCCAUAUGGGUUGAACCCAUUUGUUGCUAUGGCUACGUACAUUCCGAGCGUCCUUAGCUUUGUCAGGAUACUGCAUAUCGAAGUACUGCCAUGCCGCAGCAUCCAAUUGGUGUACCAUCUUGCAUUGUCACUGUAUCUUUUGCCAUCCUUGUGCUAUGUC
rnacentral:lncRNA from 1 species